UGGGGAAUAUUGCACAAUGGGGGAAACCCUGAUGCAGCGACGCCGCGUGAACGAAGAAGGUAUUCGUAUCGUAAAGUUCUGUCCUAUGGGAAGAUAAUGACAGUACCAUAGAAGAAAGCUCCGGCUAAAUACGUGCCAGCAGCCGCGGUAAUACGUAUGGAGCGAGCGUUGUCCGGAAUUAUUUGGCGUAAAGGGUAAGCAGGCGGUUUAAUAAGUCGAAUGUUAAAGAUCGGGGCUCAACCCCGCAAAGCAUUGGAAACUGAUAAACUUGAGUAGUGGAGAGGAAAGUGGAAUUCCUAGUGUAGUGGUGAAAUACGUAGAUAUUAGGAGGAAUACCAGUAGCGAAGGCGACUUUCUGGACACAAACUGACGCUGAGGUACGAAAGCGUGGGGAGCAAACAGG
rnacentral:rRNA from 1 species